rnacentral:tRNA from 1 species
AGGGGCUUAGGAUAACAUUAGACCGGAAACCUUCAAAGCUUUAAGUAGAAGUGAAAAUCUUCUAGCCCCUG